GACAUAGGUGGCAAACGUUAUCCGGAAUUAUUGGGCGUAAAGGAUGCGUAGAUGGUCUGGUAAGUUAUCAGUGGUAAAUCGGGGCUUAACCCCGUGGAAGUUGGUAAUACUGCUAGGCUUGAGUGCCGGAGAGGUUAACGGAACUCCCUGUGGAGCGGUGAAAUGCGUAGAUAUAGGGAAGAACAUCAAAUGGCGAAGGCAGUUAACUAUUCGGCUACUGACAUUGAGGCAUGAAAGCGUGGGGAGCAAAACGG
rnacentral:rRNA from 1 species